AGCACUUUUCAGAUGUGCUGACAGAUGUAAGUCCGACGUGCGACACCGCACUGCCAAAGAUGGCUUUGGGAUUAC
rnacentral:ncRNA from 1 species